rnacentral:lncRNA from 1 species
AAAAGUCAUCUCUGAUCCAGUCUAAUCGAAUUCUAUUUGCCUUUGAACGGUCUUCACUUUAAUUGAUCUAAACCUGUGUCUCACCAAAAGGGAAGUUCAGACUUGCACAUGGUAUUCCUUUCACUCAAUAGCACAAGUACCAUUGGUUUGCAGCAAAGCAUUUGGCUCAUAAAUAAACAAUCUGUUUACUUGGAUUUUACUUACAUAAUCUUAGUAAAACCUGAUUAAAUUCUUUUUGCAUGUACUCUAUUCUUGAUUUAUUCCAAUGAUGAAACUGCAGAAAUGCGUAUCUCCGUUUGCUGCUUAGCAGACUUUCUGUCAUACUUCAUUUUCUACAUCAAAAACUAAAGGAUGUCAUUUCUUGACUAAUUCUCUAAUUUUUCUUCUGUAUGUGAAGAAUAUUCUACAAAAAUUUCAAACCAUUAUUUUAAUUUGGUUUAUUUUCAAAAAAUGAAACAAGAGCGAAGAUUUUGGAACACUGUAACCAAGAUACACAUUUUUGCAGUUUCGCUGUUCUUUCUUUGUACUAUUCUUCCAAAUAGUUCUUGAUGUAUUUUUAAUCCUAAGUGCAACCUUUCUUUUAAGCAACAUACAAAUAAAUCUUCAUUAUUUUAUUAUAAUGUAUAAGUUUACACUAAAACUUACAAAAGGAAGGAGUGAUUCUUUAAAGCAGCAGCAAAUUCUUUAUCUGGUGGAAAACUGCCAGCAAUGCCAUUCCAAGACGGAACACGACUAGAUAUAAAAUCACACAUUUUUUCCUCCAUCUUGCUCAAAUCUUUACCUGGAUUUAUCACAUAGUAGCCAUCUUCCGGUUUUUCAAUGAUACUGCAUCCAUCUUUCAUUGGAAGUUGCUGUUUGAACCUAUCAUACAUUGCAUGGGCAAAGUGAACAGAAAAUAUUCGGCUGACAGGAUGUCUUCUUAGCACUGGAAUCAUUUCCCAAGGUACUUUAUCUAAAAUCUUGAGAAACAAACAGAUUAUUCAAAAUUAGCCGUGACUGAAGAUCGGAUUUAAUUAUCAACUGACUUGAAUGGCAAACAUCACCAAGAGCUAAGCUUUUUGAGACACGUUAGAUACCCAAAAAAUGCAAAAAGUUCUUGGCCUACCGCAUUUUUCCAAAUAAUUUGCCUUUUGCGAUGAACAUACAAAUGUAGCCUCAAAUUUACAGAGCACGUGCAAUUUUUAAUAAUUAAACCUGUCUUCCCACUUUUUUAAUCCGGUUUUAUGGGCCUUCUCAAGUUCACAGGCCACACUGUGCCACACUAAUUACGAGGUCUAAAAGUUUCUGCACUUCUGGGAUACCCACUUCAGACUUGUCUCUGUCAGAAAUUAUUAUCAGUAUUAAAUAUUUAAAUUCAGAAAGCACAGAAGAUCACUUGACAUCCACAAAAGGCAAUA